rnacentral:rRNA from 1 species
GAUGAACGCUGGCGGCGUGCUUAACACAUGCAAGUCGAACGAGAAAUGGAGACGGACACCUUCGGGCGGAAGGCUUCAUUUCGAGUGGCGGACGGGUGAGUAACGCGUGGGUAACCUGCCUCAUACAGGGGGAUAACAGUUGGAAACGACUGUUAAUACCGCAUAAGACCACAGCACCGCAUGGUGCGGGGGUAAAAACUCCGGUGGUAUGAGAUGGACCCGCGUUCGAUUAGCCAGUUGGCGGGGUAACGGCCCACCAAAGCGACGAUCGAUAGCCGAUCUGAGAGGAUGACCGGCCACAUUGGGACUGAGACACGGCCCAAACUCCUACGGAAGGCAGCAGUGGGGAAUAUUGCACAAUGGGGGAAACCCUGAUGCAGCGACGCCGCGUGAGUGAAGAAGUACUUCGGUAUGUAAAGCUCUAUCAGCAGGGAAGAAAAUGACGGUACCUGAGUAAGAAGCCCCGGCUAACUACGUG